ACUCUCUGCCCCUUAUUCAAACCCUUGGCCUCGGCCCAGCACCCUUAACAUGCAGCUCAGAGCUAUUACCAUGUAGGAACAGCAGACUGUGCAGCUAUUUGUUAAAGCAGAGCCAGCAGCAAGGAUGACAGCAGUUUGAGUCCAUUCAGCCAGAUGGGUGUUUGUUACAAGAUGUCUUUAGUUUGUUUUGUUUCACACAUUUAAUCUGUUUCCAGCUUUACUCUGAGCCAUUUCCAUUUCCCACUAUCCUUAGUAUUACUCAGAUUUUUCCUCUGCCUACAAACAUCCCUUGAGAAACUGGGUUCAGUUCUUCUGAAGAAGGUUUAACUGUAAGCCAAAAGUAGCCCACUGCACCUUCUACACAAGAAGUUAGUCUCAUUAGUCACUGGAGUUUUUAAACAGACUGUUUAAAAUGGAUUCUCCCUGUGACUAUUUGCCCAUAAGUUUCAUGUGUUUUUGCUUAUCCUAUUGCAUGGAUCUCAGUUCAAUGAAACUUUUACAGAGGAUGGAAGUCCAACAGAAAUAGCCCAAGACAAGCUCUACUUAGUGCACCAUGUUCCCACUUUCUUCUGAGCAGUUUACUUCUGGGCACCUCAUUUUAGUAAUCAGUGGCAUAUGCAUUAAGGAAGCCCAGUCUCUCCCAAAUAUUCCUUUUAGUGCUUACAGUUAAGUAAAGGAAAAAGUUCCGGUAACUUCAGUGUUGGCAAAUGCUGACUUUUCAGUAGUGAUGACAGGACUAACACGGUCAUGUGUUACACCCAGCAGUCUUUAGUAGCAAGUUUCAACUUACCUUCUCUUUGCAGAGGGCGAUCUGGACUUUGAUCGGCUGCAAAACAGAAAGAAAUACUAAGUGACAACUUAAUAAAGUUGCAUUACAUUAAAACAAUUUCUCCCAUACUUAAAAAUAGUGAGAAAAUCUCCAGAACCUUAGUCAGCAUUUUAUAUAGGUAUCACUGACAACAUGUCCAAAAUCUUUUACAAGGAUUUGUAGGGGCAUCAAAUUAAUCCCCACCAUUCCUACUAGAGCUGGAGCUAGACAGGACUUUGCAGCAAAACCUUUUAGGUGUUUUAAGAACAAUAUUUAACUGUCACAACAAUUCUGUGAUAUAGGGGUGAAGAAGAGGAACAAGUUGAAGUAAGAGGAAUCAGUACUGUGGUGGAAACUAAAUGGUUAAAACAAAAAGAUGGGCUAGGGAAAUUUCCCCGCCUUCCCCCACAGACACCUGCAAAGAAAAUAUUUUCUAGCCACAGUUAUGUUUGAAAUAGAAAACUCACUAAAUAUUCAUAACCUUUGAAGUAAAAAUCCCAACUAUUAAAACUUAGCAAUAACAUCCUUCAAAUAUAAGUGAAAUAUUGGUCCAAGCGAAGGGCUUUGUGAAUCAUGACAAAGCAAUACUGACUACUGAAAGGUCUAGUGCAGGUUUCAGUAUUAUAUGCUCACCUUUUAGCAGGUGAGCCAGAUUUAGAUCUACCAUGGGACCCAGACCUACAAUGGGAGAGAAAUAAGGCUCAGCAAGGCACAAGUGGGAUGCAUGUACAGUGAAGUUACCUAAACCAGUGAUGAUGAAAUUCAUACCACGUGCCAAGAAAACUGUGGAGGGCUAGUAACCAACAGGCAGAAAUCCACCCAUGUGGCAGGCUUUUGCAGUUAAGUUUCAGAAGACAGCUUUUUAAUUCAGUGCCACGCAUGCCGGAGUCAUCAUUCAUCAACCUAUUCUGGCUAUUACUUGAGACAGCUCAUAUGAGUACACUGUCCAAUCGAAGCUAUGACUAGUAUUUUCACAAAAAGAAUUGAGUGCUGUAUUCCAAACUGGCAACAUUCCAUUGGGAUGGAUGUCUUCCACGUAAAAGCCAAGCUGUUUUCCAAACGGUACUCUCCUGCAGCUCAACCAUCAUCAUUUCAAUGUUAACACCUUUGCCACUUGAAAUCUUCAACCUUGGUUAAGACUGUCUGCUGAAAGUGUGACAUGUUUUCUAACUAUGAAAAGUUAACUGUUCUGAAAAGACUUCCAAAGGUGUCAGCUACAUUGGAACAAGUCUGAAGCGCACCUCAAUGUUACCAAUGUUGUCCAUGAAAGUAGAUUAAUUUUCUAUAUAGUUUAAUCAACAAAUAGUAUUUUAGUUUUCCAGUAUUCAAGCCUUUCCUCAACUAUUUCAGCAUUUCAUAAGCUUUGAUGUUGUCAGGAUUGUGAUCACUAUAUUUAGGUAAACCGUGAACUAUUACAUUGAGUUCAGUCAGAAGAACACAUCAAGUCAUUCAACCACUGCAUCCCUUAAUGUCCUUUCUGAACCAAGAACUUGGUUUCUUUGAAACAAAUACUGCCUUAGCAAAGUGACACUGCUGUACCUCGGUCCUUAUAUUAAUUCUUGUAAGAAUCUAGAGCUGUCAAUCAUCAAAAGUCACUAUGAUCAAGAAAUUCACAACCUUCCUUCCUUACCAGCUUCAUCACACCAAGUGUUGCUCAAUUGCUUUUGCAUAGACUUUCUUGACACACAAGACAAUGAAAUUUCACUCAUGUGGCCAAUUAGUUUAUGAAGAUAAUGCAUGAAGCCUGCUACAGUAAACCAUACUCUGAACUUUAUUAGGGUUGCCACUUCCAGGUAUUUGCAGAAGCAGAAACCUUGAAACAGGGCACUGAUAUUCUUUACUUAUAGCAAUUCCCAGUAGUGUCAGCAGUUAGUUUCUGCAUUCCAUCUCAUGUGAUGCACAUCUUGCAGUGACUGCUGACCAUUCCCAGAAGCAUGCAUCAAUACUACAUGUAAUGAAAUAUACCAGCAUGUUUUCAAGGCAGAUAUAAGUUGCUCGCUCAUAUUCAUUUGUGUUUGAUUCCCCCCAACUAUUUCUGCGGUAUGGCAACACUUGUGCCAUUUUCUUGGCUCAGAAAAUCUUUCAACAAGAAUUAGCAUGAGAGCAGUGCCUCCUUAAUAUAACCACCAUCAGAAAAAAGUUCUCCUGCUGUGUGAUUUUUGUGACAUUUUAAAACUAGCAGCAGGAUGAGAAUGUUUAACUGGUUCUAGAACUUUUAUAGCUCUAAUGCCAAGCCUUCCCUUUGUUCUUUUGUAAAGAAGCCAUGAGAAUCGUCUGCUUACUUGAAAGUCUAAUAGUGAAUAUUCUGAAACCAUGCACAGUGAACAAUAUCAAUGCUUCACUACUUUUCAGUAACUCGAGUCCUGAAAUGGCCACUUAACUGCACACUUACAGUGAAACAGGUAUGCUGUGAAUAACUUUAAUGUAACUAAGUGUUGACUCCAAGAACACAAUCCCAGUGCUAAAACUCAGUAGCCAAUGGUACACAGGGGUUAUUCAAGAGUCUCCCUCACUGACACGUAAAUUGAGCUUGAUUAGUUGUUCUCUGCACAUCACUGGCAUAUGCCAAUUAAAGUCUGGGCAGAUUCAAUGAAGAUGAAAAGAAUAACCAAGUGGAGAAGUGAACUUAGAGGAACAAAUGUUAAGGCUCACUGUGGCACUUACGAGGUAACAGGUAGAAAGAGCCCACCUUAGCAGCAAGAGAAAGCAUACCACACUUCUCCUCCCUCCAGCCUCCCCCACACUAGGCAGGGCUUCUUAUCUCACUUCCUCCCGAACCUUACGGCACUCAUGUCAGUAUUUCUCCUCUCUUAUCCACCGCCUCCUCCUUUGGUCCUUCCAGUUAGGAUUCAUCUCUCCUGCCUCAUUACCAAGCAGGGCUUCCCCUCCUCUUCAUCCUCCCUUUCCCUGAGAAAAUUCUCACCCUCUCUCCCACUUGUAACAGAGAUCCUGUCUCUUGCCAUCACUAGUACCAGGCGCUUCCUCUGCUCUAGACAGGGGGCUGUCCCACCUACUCCCUCUAGAUGCUGCUUCCUUUACUUUCUCUAGGCAUGCCCCUCAACCCCACCCCAAACAGCAGGAACUACUGCUGCUGCUAGAAGAAAUGGAAGAGAUGCAGCUAGGAGAGAGCUCUUCUUUAAUUCUGCAGCCCUUCGAGACAGGGAGCAAAACUAGUAGAUGUAGUCAAGAGCAGAGAAUGGAACAGCAUCAUCCAUAAUCCCAAAUUUUAAUUCUAUCUUUACAUAACAGACAGCAGGAGACCUGGUCCACGAAUGCCAGCUUUGCUGUCCAUCACACACCCAUGCAUGGACUGCAGCUUAGAUCUGCUCAUUACAUAAGUAUUAAUCAGAAGUCAGGCAUGAAACAUUUUACACACAAUUCUAUAAAUCUGGUUUGAGACGUUUAAUUCCUAUGAUCCGUUCUGUACAAAACAAUCCUCCACACUAUUAUGCCACCUUUUUGAUCUAAUUCAGCUACCACAACUAACAAUUGCUGCCCAGUACCGUUCAGAGAUCAGCAUUCAGAUAGUAUCAGACUGAAUCAGCAGUAACCAAGAAUUUGGGCACUAGUGAGUCUUUCAUGCACUUGUCCUGGGCACAUACCCAGGACGCUACAGAAUACCAAGAAUCUGGCAUGGAGAACCCUUGGGAGAGGAAUGCUUUAAGUAGUAGCACAGCAGUACACUUUGACUUCCUGCAGGUUAGAAGCAGGAAGGAAUAUAUGAUCUCAAAUGGGCACGGUGCAUUUAAGUACUAGGACUUACUUCCGUUUUAGGUGACUUAUGUGUUUCUCAUACAUAUUAACUGGCAUACGUGCAUAUUAGUCAAAACUGGUUUAUGUACCGAAGGUUUGCCUAUUGUUCACCAUCGCAGCUCUAGACCUAAGGUAUCCUGUAAAACUGCAGGUAGAGUAAUAAAAUAUAUUAUAAAUAAGACUAUGAUGUACAAUUUUAGAAUACUUCAUACCCCAAACUUGCUGGAAAAGCAGUUUAGACAGCACCCAGCAUUUACUUAGAAUUGAAAAAAGCUAAUGCAUUUGACCACAAGUUAAUUCAGCCUGCAACUAUUAGUUAGUUGCUUUAAUCAGUUCUGUCAAAGAUCUUACCUGCUUCUUGGCCAUGUAACGGACCUGGAUCUUGAUCGUGAUCUGGAUCUAGAUCUAAGUUUGAAGAGAAACUAAUAAAACCCAAUCAAGCUCCAGGAGAAAGUAUUAAGAUGAUUAAAGUCGCCUAUCAAAGUAGCCUUGUUGCCGAUUGCUGCUAAGGUAACUGUCAAGAUCACAGGACCUACGGGGUGCAUAGGACAAUCAGAACAGACACCUAGAUUACACAGAAUAAGGCUAUAGGUUUAACUGUGUAGUCCCAAAAGCUCAGUGCUUGCCUAAAUGGUGGGGUAAUGUGCUGCACAUUAAUUUGUCUGUGUAGCCCCUGUUUUUGUUUGAAACAGCACUAUGUGAAAGCACACCAGGGAACCUUUAAUGCACACCAGCAGGGUCUACCCAGACCAAUUAACGCACAAAUAUAUUAAUGCUCUUUAGAGGUCACACCGCAGUAGUGCACAUUUCUGCUCUGUGUAAACAAACCCUCAGAAAACUAUUUUUACACUAUCUACUUUAGUUCAAGAGGAACUAAAGUUAAUGUAUUCCCCAAUAGCCCUUUUAAAGGAAUUAUAGUUUGGUCUUGAGGGUUGUCAGUCCCUUUUCAAAGAGUCUGCUCUGCAAACAUGUCAAGUUACACUUCCCACAAAUAUAUUCUAAAUCUACCACCUUAAUAAAAACAUAUCUGGUAGUUAUUGUGUAUAAUAACAAUUACCUUGAUCUUUUUAAAGAACCCGAUCGGGACCUGCGGGGUGAGGCUGAUCUAGAUCUACGAGGAGAGACAGAUCUGGAUCUGCGAAGGGAAGCUGACCUGGACCUGCAGGGAAAAAUUUAAAAAUAUAAUUAUGCAAUGUUUGAUCCCUCUUAAAAAAUAGAAGCACAAGACAGUCUGAAACUCACCUCCUACCACGGCUUCGGCUGCGUGACCGAGAAUACCUUCUUCCUCUGGACCUUGAAUGAGAUCUAGACCGUGACCUAAUGUUAGGUUAGAAAAAAUAAGUAUUAGAAAAGAACUUUAGCAAUUAGUGCACUUGAGCCUCUGCUGAAGUCAAAAUUUCAGACAACUAAAAAUUAGUGUCUGUCAGUUGGAAAAACUCAGGGCCUAUUCGUUUUGAGAAUUUUUACUACCUAGAAAAGAUGUUAAGCUGAAUUACAUUUAGAAUUACAUUAUAAUAUAAAACACUGUAAUGUGUAUUUAAAAUAAACCUUGCAAGUUUGCAGGUCGACCCUCUUUGGCCCAAGGUCUAGCAGAUCUAGACGAUCUAGAAGUAUCUAUAGCCGAUCGCUGCAUCUAGGUGUUCUCUUCAAUCUAACGACGAUCAAACUGACAGCCAAAUGAGCCAGGGUGAGGCUUGAUUGACGCAAGAAGAUUUUUCUAGGUGGGAAUGUGGUCAAUCUGGUGUUCCUCUUUCUAAACCGGAGGGGGGGGGCCCCAAUUGAAAGCCAAAUUUACUGUUACGGCGAUCACCGUCUCAAAUUUUCUGCCCUUUAAAGAAUAUGGUGAAGCUAGGUGUAGAUGGCUCGAGGGGAUCUGGCCUCUUAUGCUGAUCACCUCAAGGUCUAGGAGGAUCUUAAUUGUCGGAUUUUGCAAGGCGCCUCAGCAUGAUAUCUUAAGGCUCGUGACAUUCUGAAUCAAGGCGACUGACUCAAACGAAGAAACCUGAAAGGUUUUGACCAGGUUGAUUAUUAAUAUAUUAACAUUUAUAUGAAAUAACAAAUUGUAAUAUAUACCUGUAUAAUUACAGCAUUAAAGUUAAAUUAAACUGGCAUAACAUUCUCUCCUUGGCUAAUGACUACACCAGUAACUGGUGAAAAGAACCAAUCACUCCUUUCACAUGCAUACCUGCUCCUCCUUCGACGACUAUAGCGAUGACAGUCAUAAGCAUAAUGACCUUUCUCGCCACAUUCAUAACAUCGGUCAUUAGGAUCAAAUGGUC